rnacentral:tRNA from 1 species
UUCCUGGAGGACUAGUGGUUAGGCCACAGCGCUUUCACCGCUGCGGCUUGCGUUCGAUUCCUGGCCAGGAAA